CCUACGGGAGGCUGCAGUGGGGAAUAUUGGACAAUGGGGGCAACCCUGAUCCAGCCAUGCCGCGUGUGUGAAGAAGGCCCUCGGGUUGUAAAGCACUUUCAGUGAGGAAGAACGCCUGGUGGUUAAUACCCAUCAGGAAAGACAUCACUCACAGAAGAAGCACCGGCUAACUCCGUGCCAGCAGCCGCGGUAAUACGGAGGGUGCGAGCGUUAAUCGGAAUUACUGGGCGUAAAGCGCGCGUAGGUGGCUUGAUAAGCCGGUUGUGAAAGCCCCGGGCUCAACCUGGGAACGGCAUCCGGAACUGUCAAGCUAGAGUGCAGGAGAGGAAGGUAGAAUUCCCGGUGUAGCGGUGAAAUGCGUAGAGAUCGGGAGGAAUACCAGUGGCGAAGGCGGCCUUCUGGACUGACACUGACACUGAGGUGCGAACGCGUGGGUAGCAAACAGGAUUAGAUACCCUUGUAGUC
rnacentral:rRNA from 1 species